GACGAACGCUGGCGGCGUGCUUAACACAUGCAAGUCAAACGGAAAGGCCCCAGCUUGCUGGAGUACUCGAGUGGCGAACGGGUGAGUAACACGUGGGUAAUCUGCCCUGCACUCUGGGAUAAGCCUGGGAAACUGGGUCUAAUACUGGAGAUGACCUUUCUCCUUAUGGGGUUUGGUGGAAAGUUUUUCGGUGUAGGAUGAGCCCGCGGCCUAUCAGCUUGGUGGUGGGGUGAUGGCCUACCAAGGCGACGACGGGUAGCCGGCCUGAGAGGGUGAUCGGCCACAUUGGGACUGCGGUACGGCCCAGACUCCUACGGUAGGCAGCUGUCGGGAAUAUUGCACAAUGGGCGGAAGCCUGAUGCAGCGACGCCGCGUGCGUGAUGCCGGCCUUCGGGUUGUAAACCUCUUUCUGCAGGGACCAAGCGUAAGUGACGGUACCUUCAGAAGAAGCUCCGGCUAACUAUGUG
rnacentral:rRNA from 1 species